AUCUGAGACUCAGUUUUUCUGAGUGGCUUCUGAUUGAUUUUCUGGUUGGCUUGAACAUUUUUUUCUGCUUUACUGUCUUCUACAACUUUUAAGGAUGAGAAAUACAGCUGAAGACAAGAUCAUGUAAUUGUACAAAGAAAAUCAUCCAUUUUUUUUUUAAUGGAGUGAAAGAUUUGUGGGCAAGGAGCAGUAAAAAUGUCCCAAAAGACAACAUAAAAAAAGAAAAAGUCAGGGUUGGGAGAAAGAAGAGUUAAAAAUAAAGACUUACUAAAUUACAAAAGAACAGUUGUUCGAGUGAAGACAAUUAGCCAUAGGACAAGCCAGCUUAUGAUAAGUACUGCAAUAAAAGAACAUGAAAAUUUUGUAUUUUAUUACAAGAAAAAAAGAGUCAAAGUGGAUGCGGCAGAGUGGAGGUCAUUAAGUCUACCAACAAGCAGAUGCCAACAUGGAAUUGAACUGAAAAAAAUUGAAUGAAACACCUGUAAGGGGAAAAUUGGAGGGAGCUGGAGGAAGCUGGGAAGGUUAUCAGACUGAUGCAGAUCUGACUUCUGUGAAGGUAUGUAUGCUGCUAUGGUCCAUGAAUGUUGGGCUUGCCAUAUAGCUUGCUUCAGCUAACUGAAUGCUAUCAGGAACUAUAGAAUAUCAGCACUGAAGGAAGCUUUCAUCUGAGAAGGAAAAUGAGGCUGAAGAGAUUUUCCUGAUGUCAGUGAGAAGAAUCUUUCUCCCAACUCUGUCCCUCAGUGAUCAAGUUUCCUUCCCCACUGGAAAUCAACACAAUUAGUUCCUAAGGUAUCCUUCAUGACAUAUAUCAGGAAGUCCAUGUUCCAGAAGCCAAUCUAGUGC
ensembl:lncRNA